GCAGCAGCCAGGCCUGGCCGUGCCCAGGGGCAUCACCCUGCUGAGCCUGGCUCCGAGCUGGCUCCUGGCUUCUGGCAUCCACACAGAUCUGGAGGUUUUGGUUUCCCCGGGUUUUUGCUUGGGAGGGAUCAAAGUGGUGCUGGCCAGCCAUAAAUGUCACCUUGCCCUGCCUGCCUGGGGUGGGGCUCUCCCUGCCCUGGAGGAUGAGCUGUGCCAUGUCUCAGGGCUGCAGGACACUGCUGUCACCUGCUCCAGUCCCUCCUGUGACUGGGAACUGAGCAGGAGUGUCCUUCUGUGAGCAGAGACACUGGGGACUGUCCCCAGCAGGACAGGCUGCCAGCUGAGCCAGGAGGAGUGACCACGGAGCCACAGAACCAUGGAACCCCAGAACCAUGGAACCAUGGAACACCAGAACCAUGGAACCCCAGAACCAUGGAACCCCAGAACCAUGGAACCAUGGAACCCCAGAACCAUGGAACCAUGGAACCACAGAACCAGGGGGUUACAGAACGGGUUGGGUGGGUAGGAACCUCACAGAUCACCUCGUUCCAACCUCCUGCCACGGCCACCCUCUAGAUCAGGUUGUGCAGGUGAUGUUCUGGGACUAGAAGUGACCCGUGUGGGUGCUCCUGUGCUCCCCUCCUGGCCCUUCCUGCAGGGCUGGGAACAAUUGGUGUGUUUACCCAGUGCUGAUGGAUGUGGUUCCUGGUGCUGGCACUGGCCAAGUUCCUUCUGCCCUCCCAGCAGGAAUGUGGGAAGGGAAAAUCAACAAUCAAUCCACAGCUCCAGUUCUCAGCUCCAUCCCUCCAGCCGAGUGCUGCAGGGAGCUGCUGAAAACCUCAGCAAACCCCGGCAUGGGCAGAGAGCUGAGGGUUUUUUCCCAAUGUAAACUGAGGCAAGGAGGGCAAGGCACUGCUGUGUCCCCCGCUCCUGGAGCAGCUUCUCUGCAGGUAAAAAUAAAAGAGCAAAGCUGCAAAAUGCCAGCUGUUCUCUGGGCUGCAGUGAUGUCCCCAGGAGCUGGACCCCACUGCCCCUCGGUGCCCCCCAGCAUCCCCCAGUGCCUUGCCCUGCUGGGGGGAGCCGAGUUGACCUGCUGGACCUGCUCUGGGCUGGUCCCCUGGUCCACACUCAGCACUGGCCCCUCUGGGAAAUCUGCUCCAGCUUGGGGAGGAAAUUCCAGGAGUAACCUCGCCGAGGCAGCGCCGUGGAGCAGAAGUGACACGUUGUGGCAGCUGACAUCUCCGGGAAGGGUUUAGCAAGGAGACAAACCCAG